ACUCCUACGGGAGGCAGCAGUGGGGAAUAUUGGACAAUGGGCGCAAGCCUGAUCCAGCCAUGCCGCGUGAGUGAUGAAGGCCCUAGGGUUGUAAAGCUCUUUCACCGGUGAAGAUAAUGACGGUAACCGGAGAAGAAGCCCCGGCUAACUUCGUGCCAGCAGCCGCGGUAAUACGAAGGGGGCUAGCGUUGUUCGGAUUUACUGGGCGUAAAGCGCACGUAGGCGGACGAUUAAGUCAGGGGUGAAAUCCCGGGGCUCAACCCCGGAACUGCCUUUGAUACUGGUAGUCUUGAGUUCGAGAGAGGUGAGUGGAAUUCCGAGUGUAGAGGUGAAAUUCGUAGAUAUUCGGAGGAACACCAGUGGCGAAGGCGGCUCACUGGCUCGAUACUGACGCUGAGGUGCGAAAGCGUGGGGAGCAAACAGGAUUAGAAACCCCUGUAGUCCCAU
rnacentral:rRNA from 1 species